rnacentral:rRNA from 1 species
CGUUAUUCGGAAUCACUGGGCUUAAAGGGCGCGUAGGCGGGCCACCAAGUCAGGGGUGAAAUCCCACGGCUCAACCGUGGAAGUGCCUCUGAUACUUGUGGCCUCGAGGGGUGCAGGGGCGUGCGGAACUCAGGGUGGAGCGGUGAAAUGCGUAGAUAUCUGGAGGAACACCGGUGGCGAAGGCGGCGUCCUGGACCAACACUGACACUGAGGAGCGAAAGCCAGGGGAGCAAACGGG